AUUUAUUUGACUUGUUUGUAUCCCUGAACUAGAAUGUAAGCUCCAUGAGGGCAAGGCCUUCCUCUGUCUCGUUUCCCUGCUGUAUCCCCAGUGCCUGGAAUAGUGCUUGGUGUGUAGCAGGCACUCAAUAAACUGUGGAAAGGAUGAAGAUGCCCCCAGUUGGGGUUGGGGAGGGCGACCAGCUGGCCUGUGCCGUAGCCGGUCACAGCACAUCAUGCUCUGUUGCAGGUCACUGCAAGGGGAUGCUGCACCCCCUCAAGGUGAAGAGCUGAUUGAGGCUGCCAAGAGGAACGACUUCUGUAAGGUACUAGCUCCAGGCUCCAGUUCCUUCCCCCAGCAGCUCCCUCGGGCCCUGGGGAGCGAGGCCUCUGGGUUGGGCCAAGAGCUGACCUGCUCAGGUGCUGUCAUCUGUCAUCGUCUGGCCCUCUGUGGGAUCUCCAGUGAUCGUCCCAUUCCACUUCACUGUAUCUCUGUCUAGGCCACAAUAGAUGGCUCCUAGUAGGGGCUUCCUAGCUCAGUCCACCUGUCCCUGGUGCUUAGAAAGGAGCAGGUCAGAGGAAGCACUGCUCCAGGGCUUGGUCACCAGUGCUGCCAGAGAGCCCACAGGCUGUGGGGUGAGAGGCCCCUCCUCCGGUGUGCUCCAGAGAGACCCACAGAGGCAACUCAGGAGUAAGAUGUGUGAGCGCACUCGUUUCAGGCCUGUGCUGGUGUACCCGGCUGUGGGCCAGCGU
rnacentral:lncRNA from 10 species